GUGGGUAUAACUCAGUGGUAGAGUGCAUGCUUAGUGCGCAAAGUCCUGGGUUCAACCCCCAGUACCUCA
rnacentral:tRNA from 1 species